CUUGUCAAUGCGGGAAACCGCGAACAGGGGAGUCCAAGUGCUUGCACUUUGUGUAAGCUGUUCGGUUGUCUAAAAAGACAGCCGAAGAAAGGGCUGGGUAAGACAGGUGCCAGCCGCCGCGGUAAUACCUGCAGCCCGAGUGGUGAUCGAUUUUAUUGAGCCUAAAGCGUCCGUAGCCGGUCUAGUAAACCCUUGGGUAAAUUGGGCAGCUUAACUGUCCGAAUUCCGAGGGGACUGCUAGACUUGGGACCGGGAGAGGUCAGAGGUACUCCAGGGGUAGGGGCUAAAUCCGAUAUGGUUUUGUGCCAUUCGGUUAGCAUUCCUGUAAUCCUUGGGGGACCACCAGUGGCGAAGGCGUCUGACUAGAACGGGAUCCGACGGUAAGGGACGAAACCCUGGGGCGCGAACCGGAUUAGAUACCCGCGUAGU
rnacentral:rRNA from 1 species